GGGCCCGGCGGAGGGCGGGAGCGCACGAGUGUGUGUGUGUGUGUGUGUGUUCGCGGUGUGCCCGCGGCUCGGUGCACACGCGCGCGGGUUGUAAAGUCAGG
rnacentral:miRNA from 10 species